CCAUUUUGCAGGGGAAUGAAGGUCUUAAUAUGUACCUUUGUUGCCCAGGAACUCAUUGCAUAGCUUAGACUGGCAUCAAACUCAAUGACCUAUACCUGCCUGUACCUCUGGGAUUAAAGACAUGAGUAAAUACACCCAUCUUGCCUAUCAUUUUUAUACUUUGUGAUUAGUCAUACAAUGUCUCUGAUGUGUGCUUAAUAAUGUUGAUUUGUUUGCCUCUCUUCUUCUCCCUCUCUAUCAAUUGUAAUUUGUCUUCCAACGCUGUAUCCUAUUCAAAGCAUUCAGAAGUGACACAGGUGAACCUCAUAGUUCAGUUUCCUUCUAAAAUAACUUGCUGAUUAGAUUGUAAAAUCUCUGUCAGGAAAUAGUGGAGGAAGCACCAGAAGUAUAUGUAUAUAUUGUCAAGGAGGCAUACAUUUAUUUUACAGUGAUGUCAGGAUUAUGCUUUGUGUUGUCCAAAUCUAUGGGAUAUUUUAGGAUGCAGUGACUUAUGAUGAUGUGCGUGUGAACUUCACUGGGGAAGAGUGGGAUUUGCUGGAUCCUUCCCAGAAAAGUCUCUAUGAAGAGGUGAUGCAGGAGACCUACCAGAACAUCACUGCUAUAGGUAAGACUGAAUUUCCUCUUGCUUUUCUGAAUAAGGAACAAAUAUUUCUUUGUUAUUGAUCCUCUGUUGUUUCAAUUGAAGAGGAGGACGAAUGAGCUGAAGAAAUCAGGUUCAUGGAAUGUUCACUGUAGCUUUCACAGUACUGUGAAAAUUCACAGUAACUUGAAUUUUGCCUUAUUUUCAAUACUAUAUCAUUCAUUUUCUGGUACUUUGUUUUAGGCUACAAGUGGGAAGACCAUCAUAUUGAAGAACAUUGUCAAAGUUCUAGAAGACAUGAAAGGCAUGAAAAAAUUCAUAUUGGAGAGAAACCGUAUGAACGUAACCAAUGUGGUAAAGCCUUUGGAAGUGACAAUCAUCUCCAAGUACAUAAAAGAACAAAUACUGGAGAGAAACCUUAUGAAUGUAAUCAAUGUGGUAAAGCCUUUUCACAACAGAGUAGUCUCCAGUAUCAUAAAAGAACACAUGCUGGACAGAAACCUUAUGAAUGUAAUCAGUGCGGUAAAGCCUUGUCAUGUCAAAGAAGUCUCCAAUAUCAUAAAAGAACACAUACUGGAGAGAAAACUUGUGAAUGUAAUCAGUGUGGUAAAGCUUUUGUAAGACCCAGUCAACUCCAAAAACAUAAAGGAACACAUACUGGGGAGAAACCCUAUGAAUGUAAUCAGUGUGGUAAAGCCUUUGCACAUCACAAUAAUCUCCAAUAUCAUAAAAGAACACAUACUGGAGAGAAACCUUAUGAAUGCGAUCAAUGUGGAAAAGCCUUUGCAGUUCAGUAUAGUCUCCAAUAUCAUAAAAGAAGACAUACUGGAGAGAAACCUUAUGAAUGUAAUGAAUGUGGUGAAACCUUUGCAUUUCAGUAUAGUCUUCAAUACCAUAAAAGUACACAUACUGGAGAGAAACCUUAUGAAUGUAAUCAAUGUGGUAAAGCAUUUCCACAUCACAAUAAUCUCCAAAACCAUAAAAGAAUACAUAGUGGAGAGAAACCUUAUGAAUGUAAUCAAUGUGGUAAAGCUUUUGCAAGAACCGGUCAACUCCAAACCCAUAAAAGAACACAUACUGGAGAGAAACCUCAUGAGUGUGAUCAAUGUGGUAAAGCCUUUGCACUUCAGUAUAAUCUCCAAAAACAUAAAAGAAUACAUACUGGAGAGAAACCUUAUCAGUGUACUCAAUGUGAUAAAGCAUUUUCACAACACAGUAGUCUUCAAUAUCAUAAAAGAACACAUACUGGAGAGAAACCUUAUGAGUGUGAUCAAUGUCGUAAAGCCUUUGCAUGGCAAUAUAGUCUCUAUAUACAUAAAAGAAUACAUACUGGAGAGAAACCUUAUGAGUGUAAUCAAUGUGGUAAAGCCUUUGCACAUCACACUAGUCUCCAAUAUCAUAAAAGAACACAUACUGGAGAGAAACCUUAUCAGUGUGAUCAGUGUGGUAAAGCAUUUGCUCAUCAAAAUAAUCUCCAAUAUCAUAAACGAACACAUACUGGAGAAAAUCCUUAUGAAUGCAAUCAAUGUGGUAAAGCCUUUGCAAGUCACACUCAUCUCCAAGUACAUGAAAGAACACAUUUUAGAAAAAAACCUUAGAAUGCAAUCAAUGUUGUAAAGACUUUGGAUAUAAGACUAAUCUCCAAAGACAUAAAGGAACAUAUACUGGACAGAAACCUCAUGGAUGUAAUCAAUGUGGUAAAGCAUUUGCAACUCACAGUCAUCUACAACGACAUAAAAGAACACAGAGGAGAGAAACUGGUUAUUGUUUACAUACUGACAUAAGAAGAUACAAGUAUGUAUCAAAUUGACAAUGGAUGGAUUGUGAUUGCUACUCUUGGUUUUCAAUAUAAGAUCUAAAGUGAAAGCAUAGGUCCAGGCAUGGUGGUACAUGCCCUUGAACCCUAGGAGAUGAGCAUCAAGCAGAUCUCUGAGUUCAAGUCCAUCCUGAUACAGAACAAGUUUCAGGUGAAGAAAAGCUAAGGUCUAGGCCUGUGGAUACAGAGCCUUGCAGAUCUCUGAGUUCAAGGUCAAUAUAUAGAGCAAGUUCCAGGACAGCCAAGCUGAGGAAGUAAAGGAUUUGGAGAACUGAAAACUGGUGAUAAUGUAAUAGAAGAGGCCAGGUCCCAGGCCCACAAAGCAGCAGAACUCAGCAGCUUUGUCCAUGUGGCUCUGACUUUAGAGGUAAGAAUAGAAGGGACUACUGGGAAAAUGGAAGCUUGUUAGCUGUAGCUGAGAAAUUAGAAGUGAUGAUGAAGACACCAACAUCAUUGAGAUGAAAGCUUCUAGGAAAUGAUUUCUGAGAGGACAAAGAAACUGUGUUCCAGAGAUAGACAGGAUUGUACCUUGUGUUGCAGCUGAACAUGGUUUCAUGUAAGAAUCACCCAGGUGGUACUGGUUUUGAAGGCAUGACGGUGUCAUGAGGAGCAGCUGAGGCUUGGACCAAUGAAGGGAGCAUAAGUGAGGCUAUCACUGAAGCCUAGUUGCAGGAGAAGAACCCAACAUAUUGAAGAUGCCAGUCCAAUGGGAUGAGCAGAAAGAACAGCCCAGUAGAGCGGAGUCAACCAGAGCUUAGAGUGAUACAGACAGCAGAGCUGAAGAAGUGACCUUAUCUCUUUGGAGGAUAGCAGAAGAUCAUGUGUGGAUCCAAGACAUUGGAACAAGAAACUGUAACACUGAGGUUACCUUGGAGACCCCAAGAUCUUGGAAAUGCCAGAGCUCUGGGGUACCUGCUCAGGAAAACCAGCCAAAGAGAAAGAAUUGUGCUGCAGUGAACUAAGCAGAAAGGAGUUGGAGAUCUGAAGAAUGCUUUAACAUCACUCAUGGAGAUGCAGUUUGGAGAUUUCCAAGCUGGCUUUUGGUUUUUGUUUUGGUCCAUUAUUUCCUCGUGAGGACAUUUAGGAAUGGUGAAAUCUAUGUUGUGAAGUUGGAAGUAUAUGAUCUGCUUUUAGAUUUUUCUUUUUUAGGGGAUUACAGUUACAUUGAAUGAAUCUCAGAAGAGACUUUGACCUUUGGACUUUUAACAUUUUUGAGACUGGUGUAGAUGAUGGGGACUUUUGAAGUUGGACCUCAUGUAUUUUUCAUUAUGCAUGUUUAAAUAUGGUCCUCAUACGUUCUUGUACUCCAACAUGGUUAUGGGGGCCAGUGAGUGGAAUAUGGGAGUUUGAAUAUACUUGUCACAGGGAGUGGCUCUAUUAAGAGGUGUGACCUUGUUGGAGGAAGUGGAUAUCUCUGGGGAUGGACUUUGAAGCUCCACCUAGUACAAAACAGACCCUCCUAUUCCCUCCCUGGAAGACAGUUUCUUCCUGGCUGCCUUUGGAUCAAAGUGCAGAACUCUCAGCUCCUUCUCCAGCAUCAUGUCUGCCUGCAUGCUGCUGUGCUUCCUGCUAUGAUGAAAAUGGACUAAACCUCUGAAACUGUAAGCCAGCCCCAAUUAAAGGUUUGCUUUAAUGAGAGUUGCCUUGGUCAUGAUGUCUAUUCCUAGCAAUGGCAACACUAAGACAGAAACCUUGGGAGUGUAUUUAAUAUGGUGAAGCCUUUGCACAAUUCUGUAGGCUUCAUCAUCAUGAAAGAAUAUGUACUGGAGCCAGACAGUGGUGGUGCAUGCCUUUAAUCCCAGCACUUGGGAGGAAGAUGCAGGCGGACUUCUGAGUUCUCAUCCAGCCUGGUCUACUGAGUGAUUUCCAGGACAGCCUGGGCUAUAGAGAGAAACCCUGUCUUGAAAAACCAAAACACAACAAAAGAGUAUGUACUGGAGAGAAACCUUUUGAAUGUACUUACUAUGGUCAAGCUUCUUCCUACGGUUAAGAAGGAAUGACUUUGACAGAUAUAGUUCUCAUUCUCUGUCUUUAGAACGUGAGCAUCACACAGGAGUUCAUGACAAGCUCAUUCUUGGACCCUAUCUACAUGUGUUAAAUCAGAAGUUUUGCUCUCAGUAUAUGACCUCUAGAAAAAUAAUUAAAGGUGGCCCCUGAACUCUUUAUUUCUGACUCUCCAGUUACUACUAAUCUAUCUUUCAAGCAGAGGCCCCAUGUCCUUGAGCUCUCUUUGGGAGCAGAGGUGAUCAGAAAGGUAGUCAAGGGCUCUGAAGCCCCUCAGGAACACUAGUGGUUUCAGGCAACACCAGCCCCACUGAAGCACACACACAAAAUCGUGUUGAGGAUUAAUCUAAUGUGUGCUCUCUGACUCAGCGUUUGCAACUAGCAGCUAGAACUUGCCAUAUCCACCCAACAAACCCCAUACACAUCUAGGAAACUUCUGCAGCUCAGAAACUCCUGUUGCACCUGAAAUUGGAUUUCCCAGAAUCAUACAAUGUAUACUGACCACUGUUUUUCCUCCGUGUAAUCCUCAUAAGUCUAGCCUACCUUCCCUUUUCCCCAGAUCCACUCUCCCUGCUCCAUUUUCUCUUCAGAAAAGAACAAACCUCCAAGAGUAGAGAGCCUAAGAAGACCAAACAAGAUGCAAAACAAAAGGCAAUAGACCUCAUACUGAGUCUGGACAAGGCCACUCAAUAGGAAGAAGAGUUGCAAGAGCAGUUGAGGGAGUCAGAGCUACAUCUUUUCUCACUGUGAGGAUUCCCACACAAACACCAAGCUAACAGCCAUAACAUACCAGCAGAGAACUUGGUAGACACCCAUGCAAACCCCAUUUUUGCCAUUUUGGUCCGUGUGAAAUUUUUGGCCAUCCAGAUUGUGUAAGACUUGAGUUUCCUCUCCUGGUAUGGGCUUCACGUUAAAGCAACCAUUGAUUCCUGACUCCAAAGAGUUGGAUGCCACCAUGCCCCUGCACAUCUUGCAGGCAGGACAGAUUUUACAUGGAGGGUUUUUUAGGUGGGUUGAUGUCCAGGCAGGAUUCUCUUCCUAUAGCCUGGAGAGUGUCUUUUCAUCUCAAAGAGAACAGAACACUGGAGUGCAGUCUCCAAGCCUGCAAGCAUGUCUGUAUUCUGUGACCUAUGUGGAAGUUGUCCUCAGCAAUGGCCCUGCUGUCUGUUUUCAGAGAGUAACCUUCUCUCUUGUCCUUGUAAUGUUUCGCCAGCAAAACACACUCGGACAACCAGAUCCUCCUACGGCAAAGCUUUAUUGCUUACUUAUCAGGAAGACCUCGAAUACAGGAAACUCAGUAUUUAUAACCCACAAAGAGCGGUUGGAGACCUGUCAGCUCCUGAUGAGCUGCUCACUAUCAGCCCAGAUGACUGCCCUGGGACAGGCAGGGCACAAGGCAUGGAAAAAUACCCCAGCAUAUGCGCAGACUACUUGUUUACUAGUUAGAACACCGGAUAUCAGCGCCAUCUUGUAAUGGCGAUUGCAAGAGCGGCUCCUCACACUUCUCUCCUAGCAUCAAUCUGCAUUGUAUAAGGAUCCCCAUGGGAUCUUUUUGGCCAACAAUUCAACUGAGUAUAGCCCAGUCCCUUCCUACUGAAGCCCUGCCUGGUCAUGAUAGAUGGCCAGUUCAGUCUCUAUAUUCUCUGUUACUAGGAGUCCUCACUAAGGUAAUCCUCAUAGAUUUCAGGAAGUUACCAGUACACUAAGUUUCUAUAUUAACACCCAAGUGACCCAUAAUUCUAGUUUUUUCUCCCUACACUGGACUCCCUCUCACUCUGUCCUUGUUCAUCUUUAGUCCACCCACAGAAUUUAUUCUAAUUCCCCUUUCCAGGGAGAUCCAUUCUUCUCUCCUGUAGCCCUUCUCUUUACCUAGUCUCUCUGGGUCUAUGGAAUGUAGUUUGAUUAUCA
rnacentral:lncRNA from 1 species